AGGCCUCUAGGCGCUGCUGCUUGGGGCCCAGGGGCUGCAAGGCUUCCCUGGGCCCCGUUCUGUGCCCCCACAGAGCAGCCCCAAGCCAAGACUCCAAGGUCUGUGGACCACAGCUGGUUCUCUCUACUUCCUGCUGGCCCAAUGGUUGGGACCCCGGGGAAAAGCGUCCAUCCUUCUCCAUGCCCCUUGGAGUGGUUCUGCCAGAGCCCCUUGGCAGAGGGCACCGGCCCAGGGGAGGUGACCCAGAAGCAGCCGCCCUCCCACUCUGGGCUCUCUGCCAUGCCGGCUGCCCUGUUCUACUGAGCUGCCGCAGGCCCUAGUGGCUGGAGAGGAAGGGGCUGGCCGGCGCCAGCCUGCAGUCUGUCUGGCCUGGGAAGCUCCCCAUGGCCCCUGCAUCAGAAGCCAG
rnacentral:lncRNA from 1 species